AUGAACUCUGUGAUUCUCAGCCCAGAUCCUCCCUGUAGGCUACACUUCCUUCCACCCCGGGCUUCCCUUAGGUGGGUUCCCGACUUUGGUAAAGGAAGGCUUCUGCGCCCACUGGUGGUCAUAAAUGGAAAAGGCAGAGAAGUAUGGAUUCCACCUGCUAGUUGUGUAUAAGGAACUGGAAAAAGUCAAGUUAACUGGAAUAUGAAACCUGGGCAAGGAGAGUCCAGAGGCUGGUGAAAAAGACUGAUAUUGAGCCCAAGUGGACGCUAGGGUCUCCAGAAAAGGACUGAGCCUUACCCCAUCUGGGCCAUCUGCGGAACAGGCGAGACCACUUUCUGGCUGGUGCACCUCAAGGUAAUGGUGAAGCUACUCACCAGCUGCAGCCAACACUCAAGGUGAAGGGAUUACACAGGAGAAUGAAAGCCAGGAGCCAUCUCUUAGCUACCCAGUACAUAGUUCAAAUCCCAAAUUAAUGCCAGAGUUAUGCUAUUCACCUUCUAGAGCUCUCUUCUCCCCCAUAUCCGUCCUGGACAACUCUGAUAUAUCCUCCAGGCCUCAGAGCAAAUGUUUCACCCUCCAGGAUUGACUUAAGUGUCUCCCAAACGUGCCCCUGUGACACCCUGGACUUCACCAUAGCCCUACCACACUACGAAUGACCUGGUCUGCCUCGCACACCUUCUGUCAACUCCGUGAGGGCAGCAGUCUUGUCUCUUCUCUUCUAUCAACAUGGACCCAGACCCAGGCAUAGGGCCAAAAAUGGACUAGGCACUCACAGUUAAUGGUUACCAAAUUUAAUAAAUGAAUCUUCCCAUAAUAUGGCUCCAUUAUGUCUUUCUUCUGAUUGAAACUUCUCAGUGGCCUCUCAUUACAAAGAGGAGGGAGUCCAUACUCUUAGAAUGGCAUUCAGGCCCUUGCCCCUUCUGGCCCCGGCCCCAUGCACUGUCACUCCAUGACACACACAACUCCAUUGUCAGCCUCACCAAACUCCCACCUCUUCUCUGAGCCAGAUGUGCCCAGGAUUUCCCACCUACCUCUGCCCGA